rnacentral:pre_miRNA from 1 species
CCUCCAUUUCACGUUCUCUCUCGCCGGUCAGAGAGACGAGAGAGCACGUGAAAUGAAGAGA